UUAACCACAGCGCACACCCCCCAGUCCCGUUGGGUUCCACUUAAACCAUUGAAAAUUGAAUAGACAUAAGUCAUGCCCAUUUCAAUGGGUCCACUCGUGAGUCAGGAUAGUAUGGGAUACACCCCACAACCUUACUUUUCAGAGCACAAUCCUAUUUGAAGUAUGGUUCAGGCCUGGUCCAAGUCUACCUUAAAUCUAAAGAGGCUUAAGGAUGGACAGCAGGAAGGGCAGUUGAUGUGACGGCCUGGGACUCGGGCUCGGAACCAGAACCGGAGGUGUCUCAGUCCGCACCGGAUCUGGGGUCUGAUUCUGAAGAGCCCCAGUCUGCACAGGUUCCCCUGCAACAAGCUCCAGCUGGGCCGAAUCAGGGGCCUGAGCCUGCCCUGGCUCCAGAUGCGGGGAUUACCUCGUUACCCUCUGCUGGGUAAUCACGUACAGCUGCUCCACAACCAGUUGGGUCAGGAGAGGCUGAGGUGGCCUCUGGGUCUAGUAACCCACUGACAUCUCCCAAGCUACAGAGACUCAGGUCUGAGAGAAGUACUUGCAGGAGGAGUGCUCACCUUCAGGCGAGACAGGGAGGUGAGUCACCGGGGGAUCAGGACCAGCCGUUACCCCAACAGAGAUAAAAGGCUCUUGGACCCUGCCCCAGGUUGCGGGAGCAACGUUGCUGUUUGCCAGAACCUGCCUGUGAUCCUGUGCCUGACCUAGCCUGGUUUCCUACCUUGUGACUUGCCUUGGCCCUGUUGGACUGACUCCUCGCGGAAUCCUUGGAUUCGGGACCACGUUGCUCGGGUUUACCUCCGGCCUAGCACAGUUGAGAUCCAGGAAUGUUUCACACCCCACAACUCCUCCUUGCCUUCCGUGCUACCAGCCGCAAUGGGCACAAGCCACCAUUUGUCCAACCUGAAAGGGAAACCAAGAUUGGUUCAGAAUGUGGGCCAGCGUAAAGAGCGAAGAGCCUUCCUACACCUGAAUCCAGAGUGGUAAAGUAAGCACUUUCUUCCCUUCAUUAUCAUUCUCUCCCCAUCUUACUCUAAGUGCUAAACUAUCAGCCCAAAGAACAGCAUUUGCAGUUAUUAACAGCAAGCCGUCAAUCUCUUUUGCCACUGCAGCUGGCGCUAACCUCAAUCCGUCUCUUUUGCACUCCCGCUGUCUUGCAUCCUCACCUCCUGAGCGAUCAGCAUGGGGUGCUAAUUUAAAGAGACAUGAGGCAGAUUGACAUUGGCUAACACCAAAACAAAAAACAGGAGGAGGGAACAACUCUACGGACAGUCAUUUUUCUUCCUCAUUUUAAGAUAUUUUAUAAAUGUACGAAUCAGUUUUUCUAUACAUUAAACAAGCAAAAACAAUUGCAGCACCAAAAGCACUUUUUAAAAAAACCCUAUAACAAUAGUUAACUGUUUAGAGAGCAUUCAUUUUGAUUGGUUUGUGGGGAGGUUAUGUGAUGUUGCAUAACCCUGAAGAGCUACUGUCAGGAGGUAAAUGCUAAGCCAAAGGUCUGAUUUCAUACAACAGGGAUGGGGAACCUAAAUCUCUCCAGACAGGGUUCGCCGGCCCACCCAUAAUAAUAAUAAUAAUAUAAUAAUAAUAAUAAUAAUAAUAAAUAAUUUAUCUAUACCCCGCCCUCCCCGGCCAGAGCCGGGCUCAGGGCGGCUAACACCAAUAAAAUUACAAUAAAAAAGUAAUAGGGGAGGGGAAAAAUAAAUAACUUAAAAUACAGGUUAAAAAUACAAUUUAAAAUGCAGCCUCAUUUUAAUAAUAGCCCAUAGAUCAAAACCAUAAGGGGAGGGAAACCUAAGGGUCAGGCUGAGUCCAAACCAAAGGCCAGGUGGAACAGCUCUGUCUUGCAGGCCUUGCAGAAAGAUGUCAAGUCCCGCAGGGCCCUAGCCUCUUGUGACAGAGCGUUCCACCAAGUCAGGGCCAGUACUGAAAAGGCCCUGGCCCUCGUUGAGACCAACCUUGUGACUUGGGACCUCCAAAAUAUUGUCAUUUGUGGACCUUAAGGUCCUCCGCGGGGCAUACCAGGAGAGGCGGUCC
ensembl:lncRNA